AAAACUCAAAGGAAUUGACGGGACCCGCACAAGCAGCGGAGCGUGUGGUUUAAUUCGUUGCUACACGAAGAACCUUACCUGGGUUUGACAUAUAGGUUGUAGGGAACUGAAAAGGGACCGACCCUUCGGGGAGCCUAUACAGGUGUUGCAUGGCUGUCGUCAGCUCGUGUCGUGAGAUGUUCGGUUAAGUCCGCUAACGAGCGCAACCCUCGUCGUAUGUUAUAUGUGUCAUACGAGACUGCCGGUAAAAGCCGGAGGAAGGUGAGGAUGAUGUCAAGUCAGCAUGACCUUUAUAUCCAGGGCUACACACACGCUACAAUGGUCUGUACAAUGGGUAGCCAAGCCGCGAGGCGGAGCCAAUCCUGAAAGCAGGCCUCAGUUCAGAUUGCAGUCUGCAACUCGACUGCAUGAAGCCGGAGUUGCUAGUAACCGCAGGUCAGCAAUACUGCGGUGAAUACGUUCCCGGGUCUU
rnacentral:rRNA from 1 species